AUAAAAACCCAGCCGAAAGUGCAUAUGUCCAUUGCACUGCGGGUGUGCUGACCCCUGUGAUUUUCCCCAAAUGUGGGAAACUCAACUGCAUAAUUUGUGGUAGUGGGGGACUGCGUUCGUGCUUUCCACAG
rnacentral:snRNA from 1 species